UGAGGAAUCUUGCGCAAUGGGCGAAAGCCUGACGCAGCCACGCCGCGUGGAGGAAGACACCCCUCAGGGGCGUAAACUCCUUUUGUACGGGAAGAACACCCGCCUCGGGCGGGAUUGACGGUACCGUACGAAUAAGCACCGGCUAACUCCGUGCCAGCAGCCGCGGUAAUACGGAGGGUGCAAGCGUUGUCCGGAAUCACUGGGUGUAAAGGGUGUGUAGGCGGACCUGUAAGUCAGAGGUGAAAGCCUGCGGCUUAACCGUAGAAUUGCCUUUGAUACUGCAGGUCUUGAGUCCCGGAGGGGCCACUAGAAUUCGUGGUGUAGCGGUGAAAUGCGUAGAUAUCACGAGGAAUACCGGCGGAGAAGUCGGGUGGCUGGACGGGUACUGACGCUGAGGCACGAAAGCGUGGGGAGCAAACAGGAUUAGAUACCCCCGUAGUCC
rnacentral:rRNA from 1 species